rnacentral:rRNA from 1 species
UCCGUAGGUGAACCUGCGGAAGGAUCAUUCGCACAAAGAUAUGUUCUAUUCCACCCGCCACGCACCAUACAGUGCUUUCUGUUUUAUCAUCAGGAAAUUUAAUUUCCAACUCGUCGAUGUUGCGAUCUCAUUGCAAUGUAUGCGAUGUUAUCUAUCUCUUGCGACGACGAAUGCCUUGGCUCGAGGAUCGUUGAAGGACGCAGCGAACUGUGCUAAACAUCUCGAAUUGCAGAUUUCCGAGAAAGAAAAGGAUUCUGAACGCAUUCUGCGAGUUGAACUUGUUUCAGCUCACGUGAUUGACGGUGACCGAAAUAUGCAGUCGCUCGAACUCCGAAGUUCAAGUGGUGUUCACAUGUUGUCGCAAAGUUUUGCGCCGACGUGUUCGUGGAAUUCAGCGCGUCUCUCGUUUUCGAGUUGCAUUAUGAAUUCAUUUCAUUGUGUUCGAUUUCAGUGACGUGUCUCAGUUUUUCAUUUUUUGAAAACAUUUUUUUCCGCACGCUCACGAUCAGUCACGGGAUUACCCGCUGAAUAAAAGCAUAUCAA